rnacentral:rRNA from 1 species
GACGAACGCUGGCGGCGUGCUUAACACAUGCGAGUCGAACGGAAAGGCCCUGCUUUUGUGGGGUGCUCGAGUGGCGAACGGGUGAGUAACACGUGAGUAACCUGCCCUUGACUUUGGGAUAACUUCAGGAAACUGGGGCUAAUACCGGUUAGGAGCUCCUGCUGCAUGGUGGGGGUUGGAAAGUUUCGGCGGUUGGGGAUGGACUCGCGGCUUAUCAGCUUGUUGGUGGGGUAGUGGCUUACCAAGGCUUUGACGGGUAGCCGGCCUGAGAGGGUGACCGGCCACAUUGGGACUGAGAUACGGCCCAGACUCCUACGGGAGGCAGCAGUGGGGAAUAUUGCACAAUGGGCGGAAGCCUGAUGCAGCAACGCCGCGUGCGGGAUGACGGCCUUCGGGUUGUAAACCGCUUUCGCCUGUGACGAAGCGUGAGUGACGGUAAUGGGUAAAGAAGCACCGGCUAACUACGUG